UGGUUGGGCAGGAAAGAUAGAAACCGUGAUGAAAAUAAUAGCGAGAGAAAAAAAGGAUCGCGAUUGGGCCCUCUCUUCCGCUUCCCUUACCUUCUCCCUCUCCCUCUCCCUCGUCUGCCGCCGCCACCACCACCGGCGACCUCCUCCAUGGCUGACACACCACCCCCUUCUCUUCCCCCUUACCUUCUCCUCAUCAGCGACCUCCUUCCCUCCCCCUCGCCCCAGAUCGAAGAAUAGGCCCGGAUGCGACGCGGGCUCAGAUCCAGCACGCCCACAACACUGCUUUUGCUAGAGGACGCCAUGGAAAAGGUGCUCUGGCCCUGGUACUGCAGCCAUGGAGAGGUGCCCUCCCAUCUUUAUGUGCGUGUUUGUUGGAUGGUGAGAAAAGAUAACUGGAUCAAGAGCUACUUCGAUGCCAUCCUCGACAUCGGCAAGUCAGCCGAUGGUGGCGUAUAGGACCAAGGAGAGGAGCAGCGGGCCAGGAGGUCUGACCCUCCCCUAUGCCCCCAUGGCCAUGUGGUCGUUAACAAUCAGAAAUCUCGAGGUCGCGGCAGAAUAUGUUUUGCAAAAUGCAUCAGAUAGAGCCCUCAAAGAUAAGGACAAUAAUGCUCAAGGAUUUGUUGUGGGUUCUGCAACCUAUUUAUCUUCUGCUUUUCAAUUAUAUUUUCUGCCAUUUACUUUUAGACUCAUUCUCAUUCUCUAUCUAAAUAUGUAGGGGCAAUGAAAUCAUAUUUGUUCUCUGGGGUUAUUGUGUGGAUGAAUUUGAUGUUGAGAAUGUCCGUUCUGUUGGCGAAAAGGCCCCAGUUAUUGGGAUAUUUCUUUUUUUAACACAAUUAUUGGGAUAUUUCUGAGCACACUGCCAAUACACUUUCAAGGUCCUUAUUUUAACCAUGAUUUGCGUCAUCUCAAAAUGCAGGUGUGUACUGGGCAUUCUACUUUGUUAUUCCUCUUUAAUAAGCACAUUAUGGUACUGAUGGUUAUUGACCUAUGGAAAUGAGAUUAUUGAACUGUUACGCCAACUGUUUCUUACACGGCUUUCCAUCAUUGCCAAGCAGAAGGAAUGCCCAGCAGACCUGGAAGAUGGUAUCCGCAGUUUGAUUAUUGCAGCCCCAAUGGUGCUCUGAACGCAGUCAAAUGUGCGACCUUUUUUACAAGAAGUAUGGGAAAGAUUUCGUUGCUGCUGCAGUUGACAUAUGCCCAAAUGUUUGUGUAUUUCAUUUCUUUUUCUGCAAAGCCAUUUGUUGUCACUACUGCAUGUAUUUUAUGCUCACUAUUGAAAUCAACGAUGUCCUUCUGAAGGUAAUUGAGAAGUUGUCAGUCAAUAAGCCGUGUAGGCAAUUUAAGUUGGAAGUUCUUAAGGAUAUAGCAAAGGAGCAUCAGAUAGAUUGGGAUACGAGCAAGGCUGAGCAGGAACUUCUUAAACCUGCUGAAGAGCUGAUUUAUGUAAUACUAAAACUGCAAUGCCACAUACUUCUGUUUUACAUUGUGUAUAGUCUUUGAGCUAAUAGGCUUUAACUUCUGAGCAGCAAGUAUGGAAUUUGGCAAGUUAUUGUGUCUCUGCAAGGCUUCUACUCGCAAUGGAGUUGUUUGCAGCAUUUUGAAAUCAAGUUUCUAUAUAUAAUACACACAUCGUGUUUGUGAUUGCUAAUUCGGUCAUCCUUUUGAACAAAAAAGGCACCGGAAGGGGUGGCUUGCUGGCACCGCCCAUGAACAUCUCAGGCAGAGAUAUCCGAUACAAUCUUACGUUUGUUUACAUUCUCCAUUUAAUGAUAUAUGCAUGUGUAACGAACCAGUUAUAUUUGUUUAUAAGAAUUUUACAUGAGUAUUCCUACACAUAGAUGAAUAUCCUCCUGAUGCUAAUCAAGGAUUCGAUAUUCCAUAAGCUUUGGUUAACUUGUGUGAGUUAAUUCUAGGAGAAGAUAACUUGCAACAGAUCCAAUGUUUGUCUCACAUAUACUAGAAAACUUUCAAGGAAGAUAAUGUGAUGAAGUCAUACACAGAAGUGUUGAUUGUUCCCUUGAUCCUUGACAGCGCAUCCUCACCUCACAGGACUCGCGGCUCAAGCCGUCGUUGUUGUGCUCCUGCGAUUGUCCACUAACAGUAUUUAUUUUGCUUAUUCAUUGCGCCACAAGUAUCUCUUGAAAAGUAUUCUUGUACUCCUGCAAUUAAAAUUUCUGGAUUUAGUGAUGGCACUGUCCAAAACAAAGUUAGUUGUCAGCAAUAUCCACAGUUUUAUUAUUAAUAGAUUUGGGUUUAUAGCAUGGAAAUAACACGUAUGGCAUUAUUGUUCUCUGUUUAUGGAUCUUGCAUUGGUUUGGUUGAAUGAUUUUGAAUUUCCUUUAUAGUAUAUA